CCUACGGGUGGCAGCAGUCGAGAAUCAUUCACAAUGGGGGAAACCCUGAUGGUGCGACGCCGCGUGGGGGAAUGAAGGUCUUCGGAUUGUAAACCCCUGUCAUGUGGGAGCAAGUUAAAAAGAUAGUACCACAAGAGGAAGAGACGGCUAACUCUGUGCCAGCAGCCGCGGUAAUACAGAGGUCUCAAGCGUUGUUCGGAAUCACUGGGCGUAAAGCGUGCGUAGGCUGUUUCGUAAGUCGUGUGUGAAAGGCGCGGGCUCAACCCGCGGACGGCACAUGAUACUGCGAGACUAGAGUAAGGGAGGGGGAACCGGAAUUCUCGGUGUAGCAGUGAAAUGCGUAGAUAUCGAGAGGAACACUCGUGGCGAAGGCGGGUUCCUGGACAUUAACUGACGCUGAGGCACGAAGGCCAGGGGAGCGAAAGGGAUUAGAUACCCGAGUAGUC
rnacentral:rRNA from 1 species